rnacentral:rRNA from 1 species
CUACGGGAGGCACCAGUGAGGAAUAUUGGACAAUGGAUGGCAAUCUGAUCCAGCCAUGCCGCGUGAAGGAAGAAUGUCCUAUGGAUUGUAAACUUCUUUUGUAUGGGAGCAAUAAGUUGUACGCGUACAAUGAUGAGAGUACCAUACGAAUAAGCAUCGGCUAACUCCGUGCCAGCAGCCGCGGUAAUACGGAGGAUGCGAGCGUUAUCCGGAUUUAUUGGGUUUAAAGGGUGCGUAGGCGGUUACUGUAAGUCAGCGGUGAAAUUUAGGGGCUUAACCCCUACCGUGCCGUUGAUACUGCAGAGCUGGAAUAGGGAUGCUGUUGGCGGAAUGUGUAGUGUAGCGGUGAAAUGCAUAGAUAUUACACAGAACACCGAUUGCGAAGGCAGCUGACAAAUCCCUUAUUGACGCUGAUGCACGAAAGUGUGGGGAUCGAACAGGAUUAGAUACCCCAGUAGUC